GAUGAACGCUGGCGGCGUGCCUAAUACAUGCAAGUCGAGCGAACAGAUAAGGAGCUUGCUCCUUUGACGUUAGCGGCGGACGGGUGAGUAACACGUGGGUAACCUACCUAUAAGACUGGUAUAACUCCGGGAAACCGGGGCUAAUGCCGGAUAACAUGUUGAACCGCAUGGUUCUAUAGUGAAAGGCGGCUUUGCUGUCACUUAUAGAUGGAUCCGCGCCGUAUUAGCUAGUUGGUGAGGUAACGGCUCACCAAGGCAACGAUUCGUAGCCGACCUGAGUGGGUGGUCGGCCACACUGGAAGUGAGACACGGUCCAGGCGCCUGAGGGAGGCAGCAGUAGGGAAUGUGCCGCAAUGGGCGGAAGCCUGGCGGAACAACGGCGCGUGAGUGAUGAAGGUCUUCGGAUCGGAAAAAUCUGUUAUUGGGGGAAAACAAAUGCGUAAGGAACUGAGCGCGGCUUGACGGUACCUGAUCAGGAAGCCCCGGCUAACUACGUG
rnacentral:rRNA from 1 species